UGGAGAAGGUGAAACGCGGAGACACCGGGGAGUGGUUGUACGAGGGCACCGAGUCUGCCCCCGGCUGCGCCCAGGCAGAGUGGCUCGACACGGGGCUGCUUUGCUGCGACGCAUCGGGCGUUUGGAGAAUAGUUCUGGAUGCUUGACGCGCCAACUCAGUCGGAAGUCUCCGGCGGCUGUUGUCCUCAUGAAAACAGAUUUAUACCUGUCAUCAACACCAGUGGACGUAAACACACGAGGCCAUUUCAUUGUGCAGCCACUUCCCACUGACAGCCUCUCAUUGAAUUAUGUGACUCUACACAGGCUGCCAAUAAAGGCCCCGGUGCGCGCGCGCGCGCGUGCCUGAAACAGAUGGGAGCUGGGAAAUGUUGCAGUUUGACAAAGUUGUUUUCUAAGUAAGACAUGCCAGUGCGUCAGCAUGGACUUUAGCAGGGUCCCUGGAUCUGGCCCAGCUAAAUGGAAUACACCGCCCAUUAAUGUUGUUAAUUACAAUUCAAGUUUUCCUUAUAUAAGGCCUUAAAAUGGAUACUGUGAAAUGGGCCUAUUGAAAAGUGCAACUAAUACAAGUGAGCAAUAAAAUCAAAUGAAAAACUUUAAUGUCUGUGUCCUUUGUUGGGCUGAUCAAUCGAUUAAAAC